rnacentral:rRNA from 1 species
ACGUAGGGUGCAGGCGUUAAUCGGAAUUACUGGGCGUAAAGCGUGCGCAGGCGGUUUGUUAAGACAGGUGUGAAAUCCCCGGGCUUAACCUGGGAACUGCGCUUGUAACUGGCAAGCUAGAGUGUGGCAGAGGGGGGUGGAAUUCCAGGUGUAGCAGUGAAAUGCGCAGAUAUCAGGAAGAACACCAAUGGCGAAGGCAGCUCUCUGGGACGGUACUGACGCUGAGACGCGAAAGCGUGGGGAGCGAACAGG